UUGUCGAGAAUUCACUUGGGUGGGGCAAUGAGCUAACCGCAAACCUUUGCUUCUGGUCAUUGCUUGCUUGCUACACCCCUUUCAACUAGCAUCUCUUCACGUGUUCCAGGACUCCCGCUACACACCUGCUGGUAGGUAGACUGAGGGCAUCCAACAGUCCUUGAGGCUCUGUUGGAAUUUCUUCAGUCUUUUUCCUUUCUAUCCUUAAAUCUGAUGAUAUUAAUUGACCUGUUUUCAAGUUUGCUUGAAAAGUUUGCUUCUCCUGCCAACUCAAAUUCAAUUACUUUACUUUUGAACUACAGAGUUUCCAUUUGGUUCUUUUAAAAUGAUUUCUCUGUCUGUAUUGGUAUUCUGUACUUGGUGAGACACAACUUGCACGGUCAUUUUAAUUUUUUUUUUUUUUUUAUUUGAGAGACAGUCUUGCUCUGUUGCCUGGGUGCAGUGUCACGGUGUCAGCCUCUGGAGACCAGUUUCUUAUCCCACAGGUUUUGUGGUUUUGUCUUUUCCUUGCGGCUCCUGUGUCUGGUGACUUUCCUGGGCUGAUUCUGUGGCGUCUGCUCCCUGCCUGUGGAGCCAGUGAAGUCCCGGCUCUGUCGGUUGGGUGGUGGUUCAGCGAACAACGGGACAGUUUCCUUACAUGUCCUGAUCCGACAAACCUUCCAGCUUUCACCGAGGGGCUUUUGAACACUCUGGCAGGUCGCAGCUGUGCCUCAGCCUCCACAUCCUGCCUGUAGAGAACCCCCGGCUCGCCCAGAAGUGAGACACGGAACGAGGUCUGUCAUUCCCGGGCGUGCAUGGACCCUGCACACGUGUGGCCUUGGCAGCCACAGGCAUCUUGGCCAAUGUGACAUUGCGCAGUGGCCACUGGCUGUUUCUGGCCAGCGCACUGCGGGCUUCCCGCCGAAUGAACGCCAAGUCGUGUCAUGUGACGACCAGCCACGCGAACGUGGCUUUUCGGGGGAGCUGCCAGUGACAGUGCUCCGGGGUGGGACUUUCCGGGGGACCCCACACCCUGCCUGCCCCUCCAGAGGCUGCUGGUUUUCGAGGACCCGAGUGAGGAGCUUAGGGCACUCAUCUCCAUGCUUGGGAGUUCCUCUCCCACCUGACUUGGGAUUCCGGAUGCCACUGGGACGUGGUAGCCCUUGGGUGGAGACCUGUCCUGUCACCCCGGGACUGGGACUGGACACUGCAAGGUCACCUGGGCAGUGCAGGUGCUCUUUCCACACAGGAGGGAAAUGGCCGUGGGCUGUCCACGAAAACCCCUCAUCUGCUUCCAGCUUGCAGAACAGCCGUCAGCUUUCUCUGCAGUGGAAACCCCCAUUUUCCUCCUCCUGCCCACCUGUGCCCUGGGCAAGCUGCCGGCGUCCCUGCGAGGAGGACCCUGUGCCAGGGAAGGGGCCCUGGAGUCUAGGCACUUACCUGAGCUUCACUUUGUUUUAAGGUAACAGAGGUCAUGAAAGCCGCUGAAGGUCAUGUCUCUGGAGGCUGUGGUCUGGUGACAGCCUGGGCAACAGCUCGGGGGACCCCGGGGCACUUGUCUGGCUCCAGCUCCAGCCAGAGCCCCCCGAGGGCAGGGUGGCCCCCAGUGUGCAGGCAGCAGCCCUCAGACCAGCAGUUCUGGGUACUCUGACGUUUUCUCAGCACCAAGUGCUCAGCCGAGGCAAGCGUCUGUCCCCAGGUGUCAGUACAAAUGUCCUAUCUGAGGGACGCCAGCCUUCAUCAUUUGUCUCGGGCAGCACCCGGCAGGUGCGUGGAGCUGCUCACACCUGGGUACGCGGCCCUGGGCGCUGAACAGGCAGCCAUGGAGCUGCAGGCACCACCGUUGGGGCGGAAACCGCUGACGCCAGGUCCAGCUGCUCUGUAGGGGACAUAGUGACCAGCAGCCAAGUCCCUUCUGGGGCACAGGUGUGCCCGGUGCUCUGAGGACGUCCUUUCUGAAGCUUCACGUGCCCACCCCCGGUACAGGGCACACAGGAAGCAAAGACGGCUGCACCCCACCCCCAAGGCCCCUUGGGACUGACAGCCCCAGGACUGGUCCCCAGGUCUGCCUGCAUCGAUCUGCCACCUGCAGCGCAGGCCCAGGUGAAGGUUGGGGGGAGGGGAGGUUCUGCAGGGGUCCCACGUCAGGGCAGGAAGGAAGGGAAGAUAGAAUUUGUUUUAAAAUGUAAAGCUAGCGAUCUGUGAGGAAGAAGC